GAAAGAUGUUGUUUGGACAUUUUAAAUAAAUAUUCGUUUAUGUUUAUAAAGAAAAAGAGCUCUCAUUCUGGUCAUCACCAUUAAGCAUCUGUUGUGAAACAUGGUUCCGACUGCCCACUCUUCUGGUUCUGCAGGUCUUUUUCUCUCUAGUCAGUAUUAUUUUAUUUUCUGAUAAACUGGAAUUUCAAGUUGCAUCCUCCACCAUGGUUCUGCAUGUGAAUAUGCAAUUUUUAGAGACAACUUGUUCUUGCUGCUGUGACAUAUUUUCUUAAAUCGCUGUUCAGGGAGGUUGAAGAUUUUGCUCGGAGGUUAAAUUCAGACUGACCUGAAAGGAUGCAAGAGAUCUUAUCUUUCAGUUAGGAAAGGAGGCCUGUACCAUUUUCCAUUAAUGGAAACGGUUAUUUGAGAAGAUAUGCUUGCUCCUCCUCAAACCGAAAGCCGAAAGGGUUAGCAUGAAGUACCAAACAAGACGAUGAACGAGCUACAAAAAUUCAGAAAACUUACAGUUUAUUCAUCGAGCAUUCUUCGUUGCCUGAACAAUGUCACCCUGACAUAAAGCCAAUCAUUUAAAUCAUUCAAGAGCUUGAAGUACGUGUAUCUCCAUGACCGGUUGAAUAUCAAACUCCCACAAACUCCC